rnacentral:rRNA from 1 species
UACGAAGGGGGCUAGCGUUGCUCGGAAUUACUGGGCGUAAAGCGCACGUAGGCGGCUUUCUAAGUCGGGGGUGAAAUCCUGGAGCUCAACUCCAGAACUGCCUUCGAUACUGGAAAGCUUGAGUCCGGGAGAGGUGAGUGGAACUCCGAGUGUAGAGGUGAAAUUCGUAGAUAUUCGGAAGAACACCAGUGGCGAAGGCGACUUCCUGGCCUGUUCUUGACGCUGAGGCGCGAAAGCUAGGGGAGCAAACGGG